rnacentral:rRNA from 1 species
ACGUAGGUGGCGAGCGUUAUCCGGAAUUAUUGGGCGUAAAGCGCGCGCAGGCGGUUUCUUAAGUCUGAUGUGAAAGCCCACGGCUCAACCGUGGAGGGUCAUUGGAAACUGGGAAGCUUGAGUGCAGAAGGGGCAACUGGAAUUCUCGGUGUAGCGGUGAAAUGCGUAGAUAUCGAGAGGAACACCUGCGGCGAAGGCGGGUUGCUGGGCUGACACUGACGCUGAUUGUGCGAAAGCUAGGGGAGCGAACGGGA